UACACGACCGUACCGCAAACCGACACUGGUGCGCGAGAUGAGUAUUCUAAGGCGCUUGAGGGAACUCAGGAGAAGGAACUCGGCAAAUUGACACCGUAACUUCGGAAGAAGGUGUGCCUUUAGUAGGUGAAGGGAUUUACUCCUAGAGCCCAAUGAGGUUGCAAAAAAUCGGUGGCUGCGACUGUUUAUUAAAAACACAGCACUCUGCAAACACGAAAGUGGACGUAUAGGGUGUGACGCCUGCCCGGUGCUGGAAGAUUAAAUGAUGGGGUGCAAGCUCUUGAUUGAAGUCCCAGUAAACGGCGGCCGUAACGAUAACGGUCCUAAGGUAGCGAAAUUCCUUGUCGGGUAAGUUCCGACCUGCACGAAUGGCGUAACGAUGGCCACACUGUCUCCUCCUGAGACUCAGCGAAGUUGAAAUGUUUGUGAUGAUGCAAUCUCCCCGCGGAAAGACGGAAAGACCCCAUGAACCUUUACUGUAGCUUUGUAUUGGACUUUGAACAGAUCUGUGUAGGAUAGGUGGGAGGCUUUGAAGUAGGGUCGCUAGAUCUUAUGGAGCCAACGUUGAAAUACCACCCUGGUGUGUUUGAGGUUCUAACCUAGGUCCAUUAUCUGGAUCGGGGACAGUGCAUGGUAGGCAGUUUGACUGGGGCGGUCUCCUCCCAAAGCGUAACGGAGGAGUUCGAAGGUACACUAGUUACGGUCGGACAUCGUGACGAUAGUGCAAUGGCAUAAGCGUGCUUAACUGCGAGACUGACAAGUCGAGCAGAUGCGAAAGCAGGACAUAGUGAUCCGGUGGUUCUGUAUGGAAGGGCCAUCGCUCAACGGAUAAAAGGUACUCUGGGGAUAACAGGCUGAUACCGCCCCAGAGUUCAUAUCGACGGCGGUGUUUGGCACCUGAUGUCGGCUCAUCUCAUCCUGGGGCUGUAGCCGGUCCCAAGGGUAUGGCUGUUCGCCAUUUAAAGAGGUACGUGAGCUGGGUUUAAAACGUCGUGAGACAGUUUGGUCCCUAUCUUCCGUGGGCGCUGCAGAUUUGAGGAAGCCUGCUCCUAGUACGAGAGGACCGGAGUGGACACACCUCUGGUGUAUCGGUUGUCACGCCAGUGGCAUUGCCGAGUAGCUAAGUGUGGAAGAGAUAACCGCUGAAAGCAUCUAAGCGGGAAACUCGUUUCAAGAUGAGAUCUGCCGGGGCCUUGAGCCCCCUAAAGAGUCGUUCAAGACCAGGACGUUGAUAGGUCGGGUGUGGAAGCGCAGUAAUGCGUUAAGCUAACCGAUACUAAUUGCUCGUGCGGCUUGACCCU
rnacentral:rRNA from 1 species